rnacentral:lncRNA from 1 species
UACCCACUUAACUACCAUAAAUAAUCAAGUUCAAUUAAUUUAACAUUGAUAAAAAGCUUACAGUCUAUAUUUCAAAUUUUUCAUAUGUCCCAAUAAUGUCCUUUUAAGACUUUUCUGCUCUAUUGUUAGAUUCCAUGCAGGAUCAUGUAUUACACUUAAUUGCCAUUGUCUUUUUAAUUGCUUUUUUUUAAAUUAGGGAAACAUAUAUACGAUUUAAACUUUCCAUCUCAACUGCUCUCAACCAUUUAGUGUAGUUAAUCACAUUCAUAAUAUUGUGCUACUCUCACUACCAUAUGAUGUUCUUUUUGUGGGGGACGUGUAAUAUCCAAUAGAUUCUCUUUUUCAGAAUUAACCAAUCAAGAACAGUUUUCUGAAAUCUUUUUUUUAGUAUUAUUUUUUUUAAAGAUAUAUAAAUCACACAAAAUGAAAUCACAUUUUUAAAAAACCUUUUAUUAUGAAAAAUUUCAAACAUACACAAAGAUAGAAAGAAUAGUAAAAUGAACCCACUUUCCAUCUUCAUGUACCCAUAACCUAGCUGCAGCAAUUGGCACCUAUUAUCAAUUUGUGAAGUCUCAUUUUUUAACAGAUAUUCAUAGCCAGUAAAACUAAAGAAACUAUUUACCAAGGAAUUUUAGUGUUCAAAUUUGGUAAUAAAAUGCUUUUUCACACAUUUUUUCUAUAAUAAUUUUAUUUUCCUCAGGUACUUUUCUUUUUCACUCUCAAACAUUUCUCUUUCCUUCAGGCCAAUGUGAGACUAGCCUUUUUUCAUGCUUAAUAAUAGAGGAAAAAUACCUAAGAAGAGAGGGAAGUGGUAAAUUUAAAAAUUAUUAGUUUGUUAAUUAUUACCUCCAUAGGACACUGUGCCAUGACCCGUUUGCCUGAAACAUUGCAAGAAAAUACUGGAGUUGGGAAAGGAGGCUCUUCCACCAACAGAGCUAAUUCUUUGUCCUUCUGUCCCUACCAUCCAUGGAACAAGUGUACUGCUAUGGCAUGAAGUGGAAGGUAUAAUUUGGAGCCAGACAAGAGAAAGAAAAAAAAAAAAGCUCCUUUCAAAGCAAUAUAUUCAUGUAAGUGUAAAAAUAUCAAAAAAGAAUUAAUAGUUUCACCAAGUAAUCUAAAGUUAAAUUUUAUAUGCAAAGCCCUCACUGAACCA